CUCCGGAAAGCACGCCAGUGUGCAGAGGGGCAUGGGCCCCUGGUCUCCCGAGGAGGGCACCAGCUAAGCCCUUUACACACAUGGUCUCAUCUCACCCACUCCACCACCCUAUGACUGGGUUCACAGACAGUGUUACAGCUGGGGAAACAGGCUCAGCAGGAUAAAUUAACUUGUCAUGUGGCCAGUAGAGAGGGCAGGAUCUGAACCCAUGUCUGCCUGGACCCAGAGCCCCUGAUCCCUCAGGCCAGCAGCAUUCUCGGCCCGAGAACACCAUGGGGAUUCUGAUGUGCCUGGGAUUUUAGGGAUGGAAGGUGGGUCUUGAGGACGUUUCCUGACCCUUCAGGAUCCCACCUUGCUUCACCUGCUCAUGUCUGCCUUCGUGGGGCGGGGCACAGAUGGCUUCCUAUCACCUAUAAACAUGGAGUGUGGACUGAGUGGCCCAGGGCCAGGAUGGAGCAAGCCUGGGGGUGGCAGGUAGGUCCCCCCGGCCCUGGAAACUGGUGGGGACAGACCGUGAAGAGGCCAUUUAGAAAAGCUGAAUAAAUGGCUACAUGUGGCCUUGAAUUCCAGGGCAGGCACGGGGCAGCUCACCCGAGGCCCUGGGCAGAAGUCCCCAGAAAAGCUGG
rnacentral:lncRNA from 1 species